CUUGCUUUGCUUCAAAAAACUAAUAAGCAUGUUUACAAAUUAAUGAACCUGUAUGUAAAUCCCAAGUCGAGUUGAUUUAAUUUGGUCGUUUCAUAGUCACCCGUAUUUAGGAGCUAUAAUUUUGCUCAGUCAAACAUCUUUCUAAUAGUCUAUACUCUAUACCCUGUUAUGAUAAUACAGUUUUUAGGGAAAUCUAUUUUAUUUCUAGUAUUAUUCUUUUAUGGUCAAUACUGGUAAUCCUGUGCAUGGGUUAGGGCUGAAGGGCCUCAAAUUAUUAGUUGCUGUGGCUACAUGUCAACAACUGUGUGUUAUGUGAAUAGUAUCAAGAUUGCUUAUAUUUAACGGGUUUGUAUAAAACAAUCGCACAUGGAAUUGCAAACAAAGCAUGAGGUUAGCUUCCAGUAGAUUCUAAUAAUAUCUCCACAUUCUACUGAUUGUUUACCUGCAAACUGUUAUUUUCUACCACAAUCCUCAAAAGCAGUUUGGAUCAAAAUUGGUGUGUGCUUGUCCUUCUUCCUAUUGUUGUCAUAGAUCUGCUCACAUCUCACAUUUGGGUUCCUAGAUCAAGAGAGAAAUAUCUAUAAUGAAGAUUGUCAGGCACCCCGGCAUAGUCAGGCUGCAUGAGGUAUGUAAUUUUGUAUUAAUUAUCAUAUGAAUUACAUACGGUCAAUUUACAAUGUCAAAAAAAUAUUGUAUACCAUGCACUAUAUAUAUAUAUAUAUACACCUUUCUGGCUUAAAAUGCUUUGUGAUGUCAACCCUCCUCGCCCCACCUCCUUCCUUAUAACAGUUUGUUGCUUGGAUUUAUCAGGUUUUGGCUAGCAGGACAAAGAUAUACAUCAUUCUAGAACUUAUCAGAGGAGGCGAACUCUUUGAUAGAAUAGUAAGGCUUUGAAUAAAAUAGGGACAUGUUUUGUAUUCUUGUAUUUGUAUUUAAUAUAUAGGUCUAUAAUGCUCAAGAUCAUGACAUGGGAGUAUGUUAAUCAUUCUUAUAUAAUACCCUUCCUUUGCUAUUGGGUGAGGCACCAUAGACAAUCAUGAAAUGGAAGAUGUGAUAAUGUCGAUACUUUUCCCUCCUUCCCUCUCUCCUAAUGCAAUUCCUAGAUUUGUCAUUGUCUUGUAUAAUGUGAAUAUCUGCAUUUAAUAUGCAUUUUUGUCACUCACCAAGUAACCACUUAGGUAUUCUAGCAUGUGUUUUUAUAUAUCUAGGCAUUCAUAGAAUCUUACUCUUUCUUAGUUUUGCCCUCACUUGAAUUUUUGACCUUCUUGGCAUGAAGAAACCCUUUGUAAAUUAUUUUCUUAAAUAUUUUUCUUAGUGCAAUUGACUUCUUUAGCUUCCUAAUAUGAAUCCUUAACCAAAUUUGAUCCUGCGAUAACCUCUGCAAUUAUGUUGGUCCCCCUUUUUUCUGCAGAUUGACUAUGUAAUAAAAGUUACAUACAAAUAUGAGCGCCUGUUUACUUUAUGUAUCUUCAUGCGCAAAAUUGUGUUUGUUCCUCAAAUUGUUCUCUUGUGUCUUUGAUAUAUAUCAACACAAUGCACAUUCCUAUCAUCUUAAAUACUUUUAUUUGUACAACUGGCUUCUUCUAUAGUUUCCUAAUGUGAACUGUUAUUUUAAUUUGAUCCUAUGGUAACCUUUGCAGCUUUAUUUGUCCUCCUAUUCAUAGAUUAGCAACAGAGUAACUGUUAAGUAUAAAUGUGAAUGCUUGUUUGAUUAUCUUCAUUCACAAAAAUGUGUUUUUUCCUCAAAUUGUUCCAUUGCCUUUAAUAUGUAUGAACAUAAUGAUUGAACUCACAAUUGAAUGACAAAUACCCUUUCUUAUCAUCUCGUUGAUCAAUCAGCUAGCUCAUAUUAAAUCUCAACAUGUUUAUUUGUUCUGUUAUCUUCAUAUACAUAUAAACAUGUGCAGGUUCAUCAAGGAAAGCUUCAUGAGAAUGAAUCCAGGCGGUACUUCCAACAACUUAUUGAUGCAGUUGAUUACUGCCAUAGUAAGGGUGUCUACCAUAGAGAUUUGAAGGUCUGUUGUAUUAGAUCCUUUUGGAAGUGCUUUCUUUAAAAUUUGUCAUUUUCGGCUCUUGAUGUAUGUUGACAUGUGUAGCCCGAAAAUCUUCUUCUUGAUUCUCGAGGAAACUUAAAAGUUUCAGAUUUUGGUCUUAGUGCACUUCCACAGCAAGUAAGCUUGAAUGCUUUCCCUGUUUGCCUGAAACAGCUUCUUUGAGAUAAUCACAUUCUGUAUUUAAUGGUAAUUCUGUUGGUUCCAGGGAGUUGGACUUCUUCACACAACAUGUGGGACCCCGAAUUAUGUUGCUCCUGAGGUAUUUUCUAGUUCUUGUUCUUUCAAACCGGUUAGUUAGAUUGACUUCGUUGACUAUAUAGAGCUUUAUUGUUCCUCGAUAGUCUACAUAUAGCGGUGUCAGGAUGUCUUAUUUAACUUGAGCAACCAUUCAUUUGUCAGAUAUUAAGGGUAGCAUAGUUUAUUUCAUGGCAAUAUGAUUCUUAAAAAAAGUAUGUUAUUCUGGGAAAACUAAAUGACUCAUUUUUUUAAACAAUACGUAACAGAUUCUGUAAUAUUCUAAAAUUAAUUUUGACUUGUUCUCUUGUAUUAUUGAAACCAGUGUUUAGAGCAUAUGUGGUUAGUAUCUUUUUAAUAUUAAAAAUAAAUAAAAUAUAUUGAAUAUAAUAAAACAUAAUACUGAUAAUAAUGUCUUGUAGCAACAUUAAUAACAAACAAAAAUCAGUGCUUCCUACUAAUACCUAAUAGCAUAAUUAUUGCACAAUUAACAUGUUAACUUUUUUAAUACCCAUAUCCAGCCCGCCUUAAACUCACAACCGACUUAGCCAUUAGUCUGAGCAUGUAAUGAAAUACAUGUACGUAAUAUGCAUUUAUUUAUGCUCAUAUGUAUGUGUUUAGUAGGUUACUACAUGAUGUGAAAAUAAAAAACAAGCAUUGUCCUAACAAGUUAGUGUCUUUUUUAUAGAUCUCAAUCAUUUGUCACUACUUCCAUUAAAGGACUUGUGAGCUAUUCAGGCAGCUUUUUGACCCAUCAACUUGUAUUUGAGUUCCUGUCUUUGACUUAUCAUGUACAUGGAGAAACCAUUCUAAAUUCUACUGUCUCACUUAAUCUCUGAUACUGCCCCUCUGAACUUUAUUUAAUAUCUUCACUUUUAACUUUUCCCCUCUUAAUUCUACCAAGUCCCCUUGAAAACCUCAUCGGCUAUGCUGGUUUUAUGAUCAUGGGUGCGUCUUACUAUCCGAUAUCUUAAAUCAUACCAUAAAUCUGUUUUUCUGACUGUUAUCUGAAAUCAUCCUUUUAGUCUCAGUGGCUUGAAAUAACAUCACAGGUAUCCCUAGAUAUGCAUGCUUGGUGAAUUAGAAUGUACAAAGCCAACCCCGCAUGGUUGGAGAAAGGCUUGAUUGUUAUGUUUAUUGUUCAUUCAUUUGGUCUCAGUGCCUAUUGCAUUAUAACUCAGAGCCAUAUCUCCAGUUAUUGUCUAGCUUAGAUCUUACUGGAGGUAUCCUCUAACCUGUGAAUGAUACAUGAUGAAAUAUGAGACUACAUAAACAGAUUCCAAAAAUAUAACCUGAUUAGAUUACAGUUGUAAUUUUGCAUAUACUAAGCAAUCAGUUGAUAAUAUUCAUUGCCAUAUACAUUAGAACCUUCCAUCAAAUUCUUGUCAGGUUUCCUUUGAUUUUCUGAGUCUUGGUAUUUGUCUCUAUUUUAACUAUUAAAUCAAGAAAAAUUUACUAUUACUUUUGAAGUAAUUUUACCAUGUUAUUUGCCAUAAACUGGUAAUGAAUAUAAGCAGCUGGGCAUCUAGGUACUCCGCCAUGAAGGUUAUGAUGGUGCUGCAGCAGAUAUAUGGUCAUGUGGAGUUAUCCUAUAUGUUUUAAUGGCUGGAUACCUUCCUUUUGAUGAGACUGAUCUUCCAACCUUGUCUAGAAAAGUAAGUUCCGCUUACCCCAAAAUCACUUCAUCAGGGGCCUGCAUCAUGUAUCCUUAGUUUGUAUCUUAUGCUUGACAGAAGAUCCCUGUAAUUCUUGUCAACUUUCUUAUAAGUAUGAUUUCAGGGAAUACAUAUUUUCAAACAGCGAACAUACUCUCAUUAAAUCUGCAUAUAACAUGUUUUUUAUCGUUUUUCCAUACAUGAGAUUGCUACUUCCAAUUCCUUAUGGGCAGGGAAAUCAUCUUAUUGUUUUAUGGCCUUUAACUUGGCUAGUUGCAUUAUGGCGUUAGAAAUUAUUCUAAUGCUACACAUGCGUUGUUGAAUUGCACAUUUCUAUGGUGUUUACUAAGUAUAUAAACUACAUGUAAUAUUCUAGGAUUAGGAUAUUCUGAAGUGGUUUCAUAAUUAUACCAAGGAUAUUGGGCGUUACGGUCUUGGCUGCAGAAUGUUAUAGGGCAUCUUAUAGCAAAAGAGGAAUGUAAUGCAGGAUGACAAAAUUCUAAUGUAACAUCAAAAAAUCAAUGCUUUCUAAAAUCUUCUUUAUUUAAGAUUAACUAUUUUAGAUGUUUUGAUUGGGUGGACAAUUUUGGCCGUAGAAUCAAAACUAAAUCUGGUGGAGAUCAGUAAAACUAAAAGAGUAGUUCUUUAUGCACUCUUGCGCUCUAUACCUGUUUCUUAGGAGGAUGCAUGAACGUGAAUGCCUCCAAUGGCUGUUCAUACAAUCUUGUUGUGUUUUGUCUUAUGGAACCUCAGCAGUGGACAUUCUCUCCGUCAAGCCCCAUUUUAGUUGCUUGUUUCCAUCGCCACUUGCCCGACCAAUUCCUUCAACCGGCAACACACCUCCUUGGCUGCUCCUUGCUCCACAUCUCAAUCUACACAAAGUUGAACACCAUCUCGUGUCAGCCCAGCAUCCAUGCGAUGAACAGGUGCCAUAGUGCUAGGGAAUGUGGGCAACCAUGGCAGAGAUGUGAUGCCGAUGUUGUGGAAGAUGGAAGUUGUGAGGAUCCAUGUGGGCGUGUGUUUAGUCCCACAUCGGUUAUUCGCUGGGUAGAUCUUGGGUACUUAUACAGGAUCAAGGAAUCCAAACAAUAACUUCCGGCUAGCCAUUUUGGAUGAGAUUUUGGGUUGUUACAAAUGGUAUCAGAGCCGAGGACGGCUCUUGUCCGAUGGUGGGAAGGGUGUGAGGCCCAAUAGUCCCACAUCGAAAAGAUUCGUUCCAGAGCCUGGGCAUAUGAGNNNNNNNNNNNNNNNNNNNNNNNNNNNNNNNNNNNNNNNNNNNNNNNNNNNNNNNNNNNNNNNNNNNNNNNNNNNNNNNNNNNNNNNNNNNNNNNNNNNNNNNNNNNNNNNNNNNNNNNNNNNNNNNNNNNNNNNNNNNNNNNNNNNNNNNNNNNNNNNNNNNNNNNNNNNNNNNNNNNNNNNNNNNNNNNNNNNNNNNNNNNNNNNNNNNNNNNNNNNNNNNNNNNNNNNNNNNNNNNNNNNNNNNNNNNNNNNNNNNNNNNNNNNNNNNNNNNNNNNNNNNNNNNNNNNNNNNNNNNNNNNNNNNNNNNNNNNNNNNNNNNNNNNNNNNNNNNNNNNNNNNNNNNNNNNNNNNNNNNNNNNNNNNNNNNNNNNNNNNNNNNNNNNNNNNNNNNNNNNNNNNNNNNNNNNNNNNNNNNNNNNNNNNNNNNNNNNNNNNNNNNNNNNNNNNNNNNNNNNNNNNNNNNNNNNNNNNNNNNNNNNNNNNNNNNNNNNNNNNNNNNNNNNNNNNNNNNNNNNNNNNNNNNNNNNNNNNNNNNNNNNNNNNNNNNNNNNNNNNNNNNNNNNNNNNNNNNNNNNNNNNNNNNNNNNNNNNNNNNNNNNNNNNNNNNNNNNNNNNNNNNNNNNNNNNNNNNNNNNNNGAUGAGGCUUGAAGGAGUGUCCUCGAAUAAGAUGGGCCAGUUUAUUGUUGUCCUGGAGGUUUUUUGAAGUUGCCUCUUCCCUUUUCAUGGUGGAUGUUCGGAAUGGUAGAUGGUUGGUACACUAGAAUAUCACAAGUUCUACAACAUUUUAUGUGGUAAGCUGGAGCAUAUCAUCUGGAGACCGACAGAUGCAGCUGGCUAGAUCUUUCACUUCUUAGGACAGCAAAUUGCUGAUUUACUUUUGAGAGACAGCAUGCCGAUCAACUCUGAGGUUUGUUGCAAAUGUAAUUAUUGUUGGUAAAGCUCAACCCAUGUGCAUUCGAGGAGGAUUAACAUGAAAGGGGCCAGCUAUGGUUGCCACCGUUACCGGUAUAUCAAACCGGUUUGAGGUAUUUCAGUGUAUUUUUCUUUGGAGCACCGCUCAAAGUCAAAGGCCUUCCUCGAAAUGACGUGCAACUGUUGUUGGCCAUUAUUAAAUAGAUUCUGUAUGGAGUCGCAAGAUGUGUAGGUAUAUGAUAAUCCAUGAAAUCACUGGUAGCGAAGUUUGUUGGUCCCUUUUAUUAUCUUUUGACGAACACGUUAAUGUUGAGCAGCACAUGAUUUGAGAUUCUUGCCAAGGCUUGCCGUCUGCCUGAGCAUCUUGUUUGUCAUGUAUUUUGUUCUGACGAACAAUUGCCGUUUUGAUGCUUGACCCAAACAAUAACUUCCGGCUAGCCAUUUUGGAUGAGGUUUUGGGUUGUUACAGAAAUGGCGGCAGAGAAGAUGCAGUUGCCAUGGUCAUGGAGCAUCUGGGACUAUUAGGUGGAAGAACUCGUUGUGGAGCCUGGAAGAAGGCGAUGUCCUUCAGCCAGUUGUUGUAGCUCUCGGUCUUGGAUGGGCCACCUUGGCCCUCCUCCAGUUUCCACAUUGUGUAGCCCAUUACCAAUUACAAUGUGCAUAAGGUAGCGGAGGGAAGGAGAAUAGGUUGAGGCAAUUGGGAGGGAGGAAGUGAGCUCGAAGAGGGUAAGCAGCUGGUCCAUGCUCGUUAUGUGAAUGACGUUGGAAUGCUGAGCUAGAUUGUGCAGCAGCUCGUUGGUAAUGGCGGAAAAGAGAGAGAGAAAAGGAAGUCAAAGAAUCGUCUUAGAAAGGGGAAAGAGAGAAGGAAAAGAUAAGAUUUCUUUUUCAAUUUGAUAGGUUUUGAGCUGGAAAGCUGGGAACUGAUUUCAACCAAAGUUUUGAUAUUGUGGCCAGGUAGUUAGACAAAGUAUUUUGAUGUUCAGAACAAGCCAUAAUAAGAUUGGGAAAAAGAGGUCUUUUGAUUAUAAAUUAUAUCGAUUUGAGGACUUUCAUUAUUUUGGAGAAUUAUGUCACGACAGAGUUAGUCACAUUAAGAAAUUCAGUUCUCCAAUCCUUAUAUACAUCACAUGCUUUGUCUCUCUGCUUAGGUAAUUUAAUAGAAUUUGGAAUCAAGGUGUGAGAAUAGGAGUAGAAGUGGGAGCACUUGUGAAUGUACAAUCAAAAUUUAUAUUAUUUAAUAAUCUUGACAAUGUGAAUAGGAGGAAAUGCUGAUUGAGUUCAGUAUCAAUUUUCAAAGGUCAUGUUUAUCCCCUUUCAUUCCAUGGAAUCAUUAGAAGCAUCCAAUGUUUCCAUUCUUCUAUCUAAUCCAAACAAUGUUUUUGACUUGUAUAAAAUGAUUUUAUAAGUUGACAUGAUCUCUGUAUCCCCUAACUGCUGUAUGGUUGUUCCUAUACCUUAGAUCCUUUACCUUUAAUAUGUUAUACUAGAAUGUUGUUGGCACUAAGGAUAUCUGAUGACUUUGCAGAUCAACACAGCAGAAUUUUCCUGCCCACCUUGGUUCUCUUCAGGAGCUAUCUUGUUGAUACAUAAAAUACUUGAUCCUAAUCCAAACACUGUGAGUAUUGUAAUGCCAGUCCUGCUAAAAAUUAUCUCUUGAUUUGUCAUUAUCUAAAUGAAUGAGGAUGGAGAUUUGUUCUUGGGUGCUCUGGAGUCCUUUAUCAUCAUGCUUGCUAUAAGAUUGUUGGCUUAUGAAGAGAAUUUUUGGAUACCCUAUUUCUACGAUAUUGACAGCAUAAUUUUAUCUCGACAUUGUUUGAGCUUGAAUUGUAAUGUGAUCAUUUUGAUUUUCUCCAGCACAAUAAUAUCUAUAUGCUAAACUAAGAAAUCCUGAGGGUUAACUAAACUUAACCUCCAUACCUAUUUAAACACCUGCCAGCUGUAUUCACUGUUGAUCGGAUAAAGUUAUAUGAGUUUGUCUUUAUCUUCUCUUUCAUAAUUAACAAUAUCAUUUUCUAUUUAACACUGAUAAUAUGGAUGGUCUCUGCUGUAUAGUUGAUUCAUGACAUGAAUAAAAUCUAAAGCCAUGUGUGGCAUGAGUAAUCUUUAUCCUUUUCUGAAAGAAAUCUUUUCUUAGGAGUUAGAUUCAAAUUGAUAAAAGGGGCUCAAGGGUCUAUCAGAUUGACAAAUCUGAAGACGUGUGCUUGCAAGCUGAUGGACAGCACAUUGACAACCUCAAUCAGAUCCAUUAAUAUCAAAGCAUAUUGUUCAUAGUACUGUUCAUGCUUACAGUAACUGUGAACAAUAACCGUGCCUUUUUGGGGGUUGGGGUGUUGUCUUAACAUUUCAAAAUAAAGUUGACUCAGGGCUUUGGUUAGGGACAGGAUUUUAUUAAGUCUUGUGGUUAUUUGGGGACAAGCAGUGAUGAAAGAUCGAAUUUUUUGGAGCCUCCACAUUAUCUCUUGAUUAAUUUUCUCCUUUGCUCUCUUGGUUCUAUAUUUCUGUUUCUGACAUUCAUUUUCUCUCUCUCUAUAUAUAUAUUGUUAAAUUAUCUACAGUGAAGUGUUCCUCUUCAAUUUGCUAAAUUUUUGUCCUAUUUUCUCGGAUGACCCAUUUUCUGUUAAUGCAGCGCAUUCAUGUUGAAGGAAUAAAAAAUGAUCCAUGGUUCAGGAUAAAUUAUGUUCCUGUUAGACAUGGUGAAGAGGAAGAAGUUAAUUUGGAUGAUGUUCAGGCUGUUUUCAAUGACAUUGAGGUUGGUAAGCAUUUGAGAAGUGCUCAUUUUAGCUUUAGAAUCAAAUUUCGAUGAUGCUUUCUGUUUUACUUAAUGGCUUCAUUUAUGUACUACCAAAGGACAUUGCCUCAUGUUUUUGCUUUCAUAUAAUAUUCUUAUAACACUGAUAAGCCUUAGUCUUUGUACCUCAACAUCUUUUUUUUCUUUUUUUUUUCUAGGAUCAUUAUGUUACUGAGCAGGUAGAAACUAAAGAUGGAGGUCCUCUUAUAAUGAAUGCUUUUGAGAUGAUUACUCUGUCUCAGGGGCUGGAUCUUUCAGCAUUAUUCGACAGAAGGCAGGUACUUUCUAAAUGUUUCAACUUGUUGGUUGAGGAUUAACCUCACCUGUAAAUUUAAAAUGUGCUUGUUCGAUUUAUCAAAUAUGCUGUCUUCUCUGCAAACAACUAAGUUGUAGAGCCUUUUUUUUGUGUUGCUGAAGAGAAGUUACUCCGUUUUUUUUCCCCUUUAUAUUCUAUUUAACUUCAUUAGUAGGUUGCUACUUGAUCUGCCAUGUUGUUGAUUUUUUCUUGUAUACUGUCUUUUUGCUAUGCUUUAUUAUUCUUUUCAUUUGAUCAAUUCAUCAUACAUAUAUUAGAUAGUUUAAGCUUAUUCAUCAUUGUUGAAAUACACAAAAUAAAUUUCUUUGAUUCCUCAAUCUCCAAACACUAUAGCUCAUGUAAAUCUUGUGAGAUCUAUUGAAAAUAUGCUUGAAGUUAUUUAAAAUAUAAGUGAGCAAGAAGCACGGAAACAUGGAAAAAUCCCUUCAAUUAAGAUUAGGGUAAUUACGCCACCUAUAUUGUUUCUAGUUUCUUUGUUUGACUGGAUUAGAAAAGUCAAUUCAAAGUGAAGCUUCACCUAUCUAUUACACUAUGUACUGUUGACCUGAGUUUGUGCUGCCACUGUGAAUGCCUGUUCAACAGGUGUUCACUGCCAUGAAUUACUUCAAAUGAGUAUGGUCCUGUGUAAUUACAACCAAUUGGAAAUAGAAAAAGGCUUUAAUCUUGGGAAAUAAUUGGAAGUAGAAAAGGCUUUAACCUUGGAAAUACUUGGAGUGGUUUUCUGGUUAUUAAUUAUCAAAAAUAGCAAGAAGAUGGAAAUUAAGCAUGUGCAAUUCCACUUUGCACUAAAAUGGUCUUUCAAAUAUGAAUAUAUUUUGGUUGAGUUCACUCAUUAUUUUACUCUUAUUCUUGUGACAGAAGUCUCCAGCCUCUCCAGGACCUGUAGCCAUGCUAUAGAACUAAAGUUCUGAAGCACAUUUAAGACAAGCCUUGGGUUGAAACGUUUCAAUGUGUCCCUUUGUUUGUGAACAGCAAAACAUGAUGGAUCAGAGAGUAUACAAGAAAUUCAAAAGAAAAGGAAAUUUUUAAGGCAUUUUCUAAUGCAAAUUGUAUUAGUCAUGCAUGUUAUUUACUAUCUGAUCUAAUAUACUUGCAUUAGUGAUUCAUGUUUUCUUAACAUAAAAAAAUGUUGAGAUGCUAUGCUUAAUUAUUGACAUAGAAGAUACUGUUGUUACGAACCACGUCUUCUCCACUGACCUAAGCUAUCUUACUUGAAACUAAGCCAAAACAGGUACAUACCUGUUUCGUCGUCUUGUUUUUGUUUUUCAGGCAUAAAAGUUAAUAUGUUUUAAUCUUGUUCAGAAUGUCAUGAAAUAAAUACAUCCUUAUCAAAACCAAAAUCAUAUUGGCUUUGUGAAUCAUCAUUCAUUUACAAUUCCUCCUGCUAAAGGCACUCUAAUGUCAACUUCUUUCAAUACAAGCAUUUAAUAAAUAAGUUAUUAUUAAAUCAUGGUUUCACCCAUUCAUGUUUGUAAAUUUGCAAGUUUCUACAAGCUUGAUCAACUCCUUCCCAACAGAGUACAUUCAGUAAUAUCAUGACUAAAUUAUGACCACUCAAUCAACUUUGCAAACUGGUUUAUGGAGCCAGAUCUGCUAAUUUAUUCAACAUCUGUCACCUACCUUACACUCCUUGUUAAUGGUAAAUUUAUUCUUGUGCACAUUAAUUUGAACAUGGACUGUGUAAAUUUACUGGCUAUUAUGGCUCCCUAUGAUAGUUUCUGCUUUGCGUAGCAUUAUGACAUGGUUUCAUCAGUAAGUUGUUUUUCAAUUAGAGAACUUUAGCCUUAAAUGUUUUUGGACAUCAGUUUUGCAAUACCAAGACGCAGGAGGCACACCACAAAUUGAUAAUGGUUAUUGGACCAGGGGUGAUCCACAUAUGGCUUUUGAUCAUGGCCCAACAGAACAUGACUCAACCACUGGACUCCCAAUGCUAUGCUCAAUGCAUCACAAAUUUGACACAUGUUCCACUUGCACACACCCUUCUAUGUUAGUAGUAGGAACUAUGAAGCAUCAUGCGCUUCUUCAUAAGUAUAUGGAUUGAGAUUGGCUUGCAUAAACAGUCACAGAAUAUUCCUAAUUUUUAGCCAAUGCAAUCUAGACUUGACACUUGCCACUUGAGAUUAUGGAGGGAUCUUGACAUUUUUGUUAUGGAACAAACCAAAAACAAGGUGCAAGUAUCUGGAAAGGGGCUUGUUAGUUGUUCUUGUAGAUAAACAUGGGGAAUUUGUUCCUUCUUUCUAAUUCAUUCUUUCUAUUGCUUUGAAUGCUCUGCAAUUGCUCCAUUUCUCUUUUCACUUUCCUUUGUUUUGGCUUGUUCAAUGGAAUUUAGAACCAUCCAGUUGUUUUAUCAUUAGCCAGGAAAUUUCAUUUCAAGCAGCUCAACAAGCUCUACUGCAUUUUUUUUCUUUUUUAGAAAUCUAUUUAUAGCUGUUCAUUACCUUGUAAAUUUGAUGAACAAUAAAAGCAUGCCUUACAAUUCAAAAUCUGUAUUCAGCAUGCUGGAGCAGUUCAAUAAGAUUGUGGAGUGUGGACAUUGAUAUAGUUUACCAGCUCAAAAUAAUUUCUUCUUUUACCUAAUCAGAAUCUGUCUGGUAGUUGCCACUUACCUUGUUUUAGUUGUUUAAUCUCUUAUUAUCUUGAUAAUCAUGGAUUUUGGCGUCAACUUAAUUAUAUAAUAUUUGAAUGGGAUGGCCAUUGCUUUUUACAAUUACUAGAUGCCUUCCAAAUAUGAAGUGAAUUAUGUCUUGUAAGACCUCUUCAUGUAUAACAUGUUUUCUGAUAUUCUAUACGUACAUGAUAACUAAGGAUUUUGGCCUACAUUAUUUUCAUAGGUCGAGCUACAAUUGGUGGUUACUGGAUCUUGACUUCACUUAUUAUUAGUUUAAUAUAAGUUGUCUGUUAUUAGCCUUUCAUGACUGCAAAUAAUGCAACAUAAUAUUGAACGUAUUUUGCCUUGCAGGAUUUUGUGAAACGCCAAACUCGUUUUGUGUCACGCCACUCAGCAAGGACCAUCAUAGCAACCAUUGAAGCUGUUGCUCAGUCAAUUGGUCUCAAGGUUCAUUCCCAAAACUACAAGGUAAAAUUCUUAAUGGCGUCUUUCAAGAUAUGUUUUUGAUUAAUAAUAAGUGGUGCAAACACCAGUGCCAGAUCACUCGUCACUUAGGUCUACAGUCGCCGUAGGAGGAUGGUUCAACCAGUUUCAUUGUGGUUAGAGUGAUUUUAUUUUAUUUGAUAGCCUUUGGGCUUAUUUAGGUAUUUUGUUAUCUUUGAGGGUCUGUGUGAGAUUAGUUUCCUUGUAGGAGUCUUUUUGCAUUAUGGAUCUUAUAUAUAUAUUGGACCAUACGUUUGUAUGGGGUAUGCUAUGAAUAAAAGUUUGAUUCCUUUCAUUUGGCUCUGGUGUGAAACCCUGAGCAAGGGCUAGGCGUGAAGCCUAGUUCUCUUCUUCUCUUCUCCUCCUCUCUUUCUAUUCUCUCUUUCUCCUUCCUCUUCCCUGUUGUCCAACGUCAGCAUUGAUAUCAAAGCUCGACAACCAAAAAAAAGAGAUUUUCUUGGGAUGCUGUGGGCCUUGGCUUUCCCGUGGGCUCAGACUUCAUGCGAGGAAAGCAUUGGGUGUCUUCUUCCCUAGCCGAGAAAGGGUCCCGGUUCUUCCGAGCCAAAGUCCCCAAAACCCGUGUGUGUCCUCUCCUUCCGGCGGUGCACGAGAAGGAAAGAGGAACCGCUGAGAUGGUUGGUGACUGGAUGUGAUGCCUCCUGUGCUCCCGGGUUCUUGCGGUGGCUCUUGAGGAAAGGAAGGGGAAAACCCUUCCCCCAGCGGCGUCCGUCAUUCGGAUUCGGGAAGAGGAGCACCGUCGUCCCUCUCCGAGCGCCUCAUCGUCCUCAACCGCUGCUGCACCCCACGCGCCGGUCACCACGGAAGCUGGCGUAACCACCUACAACAACCUACAAAGAAGAUAAACAAUAACGGGUUGUGCCCGUUAGCCUGAAUUCUUUUGGGUUUGAUUUUUUAAAAAAAUCUGUAUCGGGCAUGCAACGGGAUACCGGAGUGGGCCGUGCCCGUUAACCUGAAUCCUAACGGAUAUGAGUUUAAAAAAAGGGCUACUGCUCGCCUUCUUCCCUGAGAUCUCCACCGCAGUGCCGCUUUCGCCUUUGCCACCUUCACCGAUGCCGUGAUCCGUGUGGCCGAUGUCGAUUCUCCCCAUCUCUGGUGUUGGACGGCAAGACACAGUCGCCCGAGCUCCACUGCCCCAAAACCUAAGGGGUCUUCACACCAAGGUUCGGCUUGCACCUUGGUCUUUGUCACCCCUCCCUCUCGCCGCUCUCUGCCCCUCUUCGCUCGCCGCCCCAAACCUUAUGGCUCCUUAUAACCCUCUCCCUCUCCUGUCGUCCCUCAGGGGUUCGGCAACGAACCCAUCGCAUACCACCAUCUCCCCCUUCCACCCCUCCUAGUUCGCGGCCCAUAAGGCCCACACUGCUAGCUUCCCCUCCCACCCCCCUUCUAAUCCGCGGGCCCAUCAGGCCUGCAUUGCAUACCACCCACACCCACCCCCCGCUUCUAAUCAAACGGGCCGUUGUCAUCAGGCCCACCAAACUGCUUUGAUCAGGCCCAACGAGUUGUUGAGAUCAGGUCCACCGAGUUGCUGUGAUCAGGCCCACCAAGCUGCUGUGAUUAGGCUCUAAUUGAGCCAUUUGAAGAGUCCGCUUGCUGCGACCGCGUUUCUGGUUGUUGUUCCCAGCUCAGGUCAAAACCCUUCUCUUUCUGAAAAAUCUAUUUGUUUAUCUAAAAUUUAGCAUCUAUGAACUUUUGUGUGCUCUGUUGACUUAUCUUACUGUGAAUUCAAUACAUACACCCAAACAAUUUGAGAAACCCUUGUAGUGGUCCAUCUUUGCCAUUAAUUGUAGGGCUGCAUAAUCUUUGAAAGUUUUUCAAGGUUCCGCGAUACCCUGCAACACAGAAUACUGACACUAUUUGACUGCAAUUACUUGCUUGCACUUAUUACGUGAUCCUCUGCUUGACUUCAUUUACUAAGGAUUAGCUUUCCAUUUAUGUUGAGCAUAUAUAGUGAGCUCUAGGCAUCUUUUUCAUGCAUUAGAUCUGCCUAGGAACCACCACUGUCUUAGCAUUGCAGGGCCACGCACAACUUUGCACACUCAUUACAUGCACCUUCGUAGUAGUCAUGUUGGCUUUCAGUUAGAAUCUCAACUUGCCAUGGAUCCCAACAUCGAAGCUUUGCUAAGGGCUAUCCAAGACUUGACCACAAUGUCCACCCAGGUCAACACCCAAUUAGACUCAGUUGAGGCUUCCCUUCAGAGGAUUAUGGGAUCCAAAGAAGGUAGUGCCUUCCAUUUGGAAGGCUCAGAGGUCGAGGAUGAAACCUUAGACUAUCUAAGAUCUAUUCGACAGGGCCACCUUGAUGCUAAUCCUUUCCCAGGCUGCCUUUCAGCCUACCCUCGUCACAGAGGAUCGGGUCCAUUUUCUAAUGCUGAUAGGGGUUAUCGGCACAAUGUAGAAUCCAGAGAGCCUCAUGACCAUAAUGAAGAUGUGAUGAAAGGCAUUUGGGUUGAAGCUCCCACUUUUGAUGGUCGUCUUGACCCAAAGGUCUUUUCAGACUGGUUGCACAAAAUGGACUACUUCUUUGAGUGGUAUAAUUUGUCUAAAGAAAAAAAAGGUUCGAUUUGCCAGAAUAAAACUCAUUGAUCGAGCUAAGCUUUUCUGGCAAAGCACCGAACAGCUUCUGACUAGGAGACAUCAACCUGCCAUAACUGACUGGAUAGAAAUGAAAGAAAAAAACUAAAACUAAAAUACUUUUUCCUUAGCUACCAAGAUGAUCUCCUCGACCGAUGGAACAACUUGAGACAAGGCAUCCGAUCAGCUAUUGAUUACAUUACCUAAUUUGUUGAAUACAUGAUGCAAUGUAAUGUGAUUGAGGACGAAAAGAUGGUCCUGAGUUGAUUCCAAAGAAGUCUCAAUGAUGAACUCAGAAAGAAACUUGUCCUCCGAGAGGUGUCCACUUUAGACCAGGCUUAUACAUUCGUGUAGAAUUAUGAGUAUAGGUCUCAAAGUCCAUAUUUGUGAGGCGCUCUGACACUCGGGGCACUUCCACGAGUCUUAAUUCUUCGAAGCGCAGACCUUCUGUGGGGUCUUCUGCCCCUAAACCCCCUUCUACCGCCCCUACCCCAAGUCAAGACACCAAAGGUAAGGGAGUCCUUGGUGAGCCUCCCAAACCAAAUUUCAGAAUUCAGUGCUACAAAUGCCAGGGUUUCGGUCACGUUGCCUCCCAAUGUGCUAAUAAAUUUCUCUUUAUUGAUCAGCAAGAGCAGGGAGGUGAUGCAGAUGACUUGGAGGAGCAAGUCUAUGAACCAAACCUCGAUGACAUUUAGGACAUUUAGGAAGAGUUUGAUGGACCUGAUACCCUAGGAUGCAUCCACACUGUACCUAUAUCAUUUGCACCUUCAGAUAGAGAGUCUGACUAGUCCACCAUGAGUGUAGUCAGAUGUGCUCUCGCACAACCCAAAGAAAUUGAUGACCGGAGAAAAACUUCGAUUUUCAUACUUAUAUGAAGUGCGGAGAGAAAGAUUGUAAGGUCAUCAUCAAUAGCGAGAGUUGUAUUAACGCAAUAUCCUCCAGCAUCGUCUUCCGCUUAGGUUUGACUUCUGUUCCUUAACCACAAUCUUAUAAGAUCUCUUGGAUUGACACAUCUUCUAUUCACAUCAAAAAAAAGAUGUCUUGUGCUUGUUCACAUCCUUUCUUACAAAGACACCAUAUGGUGUGACAUAAUUUCGAUGGAUGUAGGACACCUAAUUUUGGGGAAACCUUGGUUGUUUGACCUUGAUGUCACCAUCUAUGGUCAAUCCAACUCUUGUUCUUUCGUGUUCGAGGGCAAAAAGAUUAAACUCAAUUCUUGCGGCCCAAGGCACCUAACAAGAACAAGAAAAGAGAAGUGUCAAAGGACAAGUAUCUCUACAUCUUGCGUCUCUGCUGAAUUUGAGCGGAAAGUGUUCCACAAAUCUCUGGAGUUCGCUUUACUUGUCAAAAAAGUUCACCUCCACAAUCAGAGCGAACCACCAGCCUAUGUCCUCUCUUUUCUUGAGGAGUUUCAAGAAGUAUUCCCAGAAGAUCUCCCAAAUCAUUUGUCACCCCUGCGUGACAUUCAACACGCCAUCAAUUUGGUUUCGGGAGCAACUCUUCCUUACUUGCCCCAUGAUGGAAUGAAUCCUUCUGCGCAUGCUGAACUACAAUGGCAAGUCAAUGAGCUCGCACGCAAAGGGUUUAUUUGUGAGAGCUUAGGUCCUUGUGCUGUACCCGCACUUCUCACCCCAAAAAAAGAUGGCUCGUGGAGAAUGUGCGUUGAUAGUUGGGCCAUCAACGGAAUCACGAUCAAGUAUCAUUUUUUCAUUCUUCGACUCGAUAUGUUGGACAUGAUGGUAGAUGCCACGAUCUUUUCCAUGAUUGAUUUGAAAAGUGGCUACCAUCAAAUCCGCAUUCGCCCAGGGGAUGAAUAAGAAAUUGCUUUCAAGACGAAAGAUGAUCUGUAUGAAUGGUUGGUCAUGCAUUUUGGCCUCUCAAAUGCUUCUAGUAUUUUUAUGCGGGUGAUGACUCAAGUACGACGACCUUUCAUUGGCAAAUUUUUGGUCGUGAACUUUGAUGGUAUCCUCAUUUAUAGCCAAUCAAAGGAGCAACACUUGGCUCAUGUGAGACAAGUAUGCACAACCCUGAGGAAUGAGAAUCUGUAUGCUAACCUCAAGAAGUGUUCAUUCUUCACUUCUCAUGUCAACUUCUUGGUUACAUUGUUUCCUUAGAGAACUUUUUUGCUGAUCCUAAUAAAGUCACAGCGAUAGUAAAGUGGCCAGAGCCUAAAACCAUCAGUGGCGUUCGCAGUUUUCAUGGGCUUACUACUUUCUACCAUCGUUUCAUUAGAGGGUUUAGCACGAUUAUGUCCCCAAUCACUGAUUGCCUCAAGAAAGACAACUUCCAUUGGACUAGCGCUGUUGCUAAAGUAUUUUGCGACAUCAAGAAGAGGAUGACUGAGGCGCCCAUCAUGCGACUCCCUAACUUCAGCAAGGCAUUUGAAGUGGAGUGUGAUGCAUCUAGCCUCGGUAUCGAUGGAGUGCUCAGCCAAGAACGCCACCCCGUAGCAUAUUUUAGUAAAAAACUAAAUGAGGCUAAGCAGAAGUAUUCCACCUAUGAUAAGGAAUUCUAUGUCGUAGUCCAAGUCCUACGAUAUUGGCGUCAUUACCUACUACCCAAUGAAUUCGUCCUCUACUCUGAUCAUGAAGCUCUUCACUACCUCAAUUCUUAAAAAAGUUGAAUUUCCAACAUGCCAAGUGGGUUGAGUUUCUACAGGAAUACACUUUUGUCUUGAAGCACACUUCAGGUGCCACGAACAAGGCUGUUGAUGCGUUGAGUCGUCGGGUAGCCUUACUUUCGGCCAUGUCAGUCAAUAUCACGGGUUUUGACAAACUCAAAGAGGAUUACUUGUCUUGCCGUGAUUUUGGAGAACUUUACAAGGCCCUCGCUGACGGACAAGAACCCUUGAUUGAUAGUUUUCAUCUUCAAAAUGGUUAUUUGUUUAAGCAAACCAAGCUCUGUAUGCCACGAACUUCCGUACGAGAUUUUUUAGUGUGGGAAGUGCAUGCGGGUGGUCUUUCAGGGUAUUUUGGCCGAGACAAGUCCGAUAAAGAGGUAGAACAUCAAUUCUUCUAGUCUAGCCUAAAAAGGGACGUUGCUAAAAUCACUGGCCAAUAUCGAAUUUGCCAAUUAGCCAAACACAGAAAACAGAACAGUGGCCUAUAUACCUCUUUGCCUGUACCAGAUCGUCCUUGGCACGACAUCAGUUUAGACUUCGUGCUUGAUCUUCUCCGUACCUUCAGAAAACACGAUUCCAUUCUUGUUGUUGUGGACCGUUUUUCUAAAAUGGCCCACUUUAUCUCUUGUUCAAAAACUUUUGAUGCUUCCAAAGUGGCCAAACUCUUCUUCGAUGAGAUUGUCAAACUAUAUGAUCUUCCAAAAACCAUCGUGUCCGAUAGAGAUGUCUGAUUCAUGAGUUACUUCUGGAAAACCUUGUGGCACAUGGUUGGUACAAAGCUCAAAUUUUUUACUGCUUAUCAUCCACAAACUGAUGGCCAAACCGAAGUAGUGAACCAAAGUCUUGGUAAUCUCUUGAGGUGUCUUGUGGGCGAACACAACCGCAAUUGGGAUUCAAUCCUUCCUAUAGCACAAUUUGCAUACAAUAAUUCAGUCAACAGGUCCAUAGGCAUGAGUCCAUUUGAGGUAGUGCAUGUUUACAAAGCUAGAAAACCUCUAGAUCUCUUACUCAUGUCACCUCAUGUUAGGAUUUCUGAGUCUGCACAUGUAUUUGCACAACACAUUCAUGAGUUGCAUCAAGAAAUCCAUAAGCGUAUUCAUAUAAGUAAUGCUCACUAUAAACUACAAGCUGAUUUCCAUAGGCGUGCUAAGAAAUUUCAAACUGGGGAUUAUGUAAUGAUCCGUAUUCGGCCUGAGCGGUUUUUUCUUGGAACCGUUAAGAAAUUGCAGGCUCGUAGUGCUGGGCCAUUCAGGGUGUUACACAGGGUUGGCACUAAUGCCUAUGUCAUUAACCUUCUAUCUGAUUUUGGUAUUAGCCCAACUUUUAAUGUUGAAGAUUCGGUUGCUUACAAGGGCUCACCAACAAUCUCCGAUGACCCUUUUGCUGAGCCCUCUCCUGAGCCCAAUGAUUUUCCUAUUUUUGAUCCCAUAUCAGCUUCGAUUCUUUUACCCCUCCAAUAAGCGCAAAAAGAGCACAUUGAUGCUAUUUUAGACGAUUAGACAGUUUUUACCAGUGAUGGAAGCAUCCAGUGCUUCUUGGUUCGUUGGCGAGGACAACCAGAGUCCGACUCCACUUGGAUCAUGCGGUAUGAACUUUAGCAGAUUGAUCUGGACUUGUUGGAGUAUUACCAGAGCUACACCGAGCCGUGCUCGUCGAGGUUGACUUCUUCCCACCCAGGAGGAGCUGGUGUGGACACCAGUGCCAGAUCACCUGUCAUUCAUUUCUACAGUCGCCGCAGGAGGAUGGGUUAGCCAAUUUCAUUGUGGUUAGAGUGAUUUUAUUUUAUUUGAUAGCCUUUAGGCUUAUUUAGGUAUUNNNNNNNNNNGUGUAAGAUUAGUUUUCUUGUAGGGGUCUUUUUGCAUUCUGGGUCUGAUAUAUUUAUUGGACCAUACGUUUGUAUGGGGUAUGCUAUGAAUAAAAGUUUGAUUCCUUUCGUUUAGCUCUGGUGUGAAACCCUGAGCAAGAGCUAGGCGUGAAGCCUAGUUCUCUUCUUCUCUUCUCCUCCUCUCUCCCUCUUCUCUCUUUCUCCUUCCUCUUCCCUGCUGUCCGGCAUCAAUAAGUUACAAGAGAAUAAAGAUAGAAUAAAAGGAGAAAUUCCAAUACGCACGCAAAGAGAACUCCCCAAGCCCAUCCUUAGUUGGGUCUGCUACAUCAUGAGCACUUAACCAUGCCUGACUGGGUUAUAGACAGUCAGCUUGAGUUGAGGAUAUCACUUAGUAUAGUAUAUAUGAUAAUUCUAGUGGUACAUUCAUCAUUGAACAUCUGUUAUAUUAAAUGUUUUUUUUGAAGAACCAUGCUUCAUCAGUGCGAGAUAUGACCAAAUUAAGUCCUAAUUUCAAUACACAAGCCUCUGAUUUAUUCAGUGUGCUGUUUCUGACCAAAGGCAAUUCUCUUUGUUUGCAUCUUUAAAAUAAUGAAAUGUGAAGCAACCAUCAUAGUUAAACUUAACCCUAGGAUAAUCUCUGUUGGUAUAGUGUAUUCUUUGUUGAGGAAAUGUUAGCCACAAUUUUCAUUUUUUUGGGGGGUGGGUGGGGAGGUGGGGGGGUGGGUGUAACAACAGGGGUAGAGCACAAUUACAAACAUGGGAAAAUAGUUCCUCUGGCAUCAGCAUUAACAAGAUAAACCAGGCCAAGGGAAGUCAUUAUUUCUUUGACAAACUUUAAGAAGCUUGACCUUAGAAGAAGUUAAAAGGCCAAAAUCUAAAAUAUGAUAUUACUCUAGACCUACAGGAAGACUCUUCCACAAAAGAAUAUCUGAUUGCAUGGAAAUAUGGAUCCUUGUUCCAAAGUUUAAGUAAUUUGUAUAUGGAUAAAAGCCUCCAUUUUUUCCAGGUAGUGGUAACAAUUUGAUACCAUCCACAAGAAAAUCUUACAUAGUUCACGGAAGAUCCUAUGCACUUUUAGGAAUGAUUCAAAAUGAAUCGUUCUAAAUUGUUAGUUCAUAAUUCAAUCAAUUGAUCUCUCUUCUCUCCUCUUCAAAACCCUAGUCACCCUAUUCAUCUCAUUCGGCUCUCUGAUGCUUCCUCCUGCUCCCAAGCCCUUGAUCCUUGCAACUUUCAUCCCGAUCCCAAUCCCUAGCCCUCACCCUCUCUCUUGCCCCCUCUCCUCCCUGAUCCCUCCGCCUCACCCUCCUCCUAUGUCCCUUGUCUUCUAGCGACAAUGACACCCUCCUCUUUUCCUUCCAGCAACGACGAUGCCCUUCUCUCUCCCUUUUGGUGUGACGACCAACGACAAUGCCAUCCUCUCUCUCUCCCCUGUCUAAUCUUUCUACUUGUUCACAUCUUUCGACAGCGAUGGCUUAGUGGCCCUGGGCCUCUCCCUCAUCGCAUGUUAGUUACCAAGUCCCAUGGCUCGGUCAUUGUAGCAUGUCUCCUUCCCCCCUUCUCGUUCUUAGUCUUCUAGAUUUAGUGGACUAGUACCAGAUCAACACUAGACUAUAUAUCAUGUGUAGGUAUAGUACCAUAUUCUAUCGACCUAGUUCUUUGACUACUACAGCACUCGAUGCCAAUUUUGUGCAAACCUUGCAUUUUAAGCCUAGUCCUUUUUAUUUUGAGUUAGACUUUUUGGGUACAUAUUUGCCAGUUAUUCAUAUCGAGGAUCAAGGUAUGCCAAAUUGUGCUGAACCAGUUGGUUCGGGGAAUACUAAACCGGACCGGCAUAGUUGUGGCUAUUCAGACAGUUUGAAAAGCCGAUGAGGAGGGGGAGAUGUGGAAUUCAUCAUGAGGGGGGAAGGGGCGAGUCGAGAGUGAGUUCCGAACUGUUUGAAUAGCCAGCGAGAAUGCCUACUUCAAUUUAAAAUUUGAAAAUAAAAAGGGGCCCAAAAUGGACUGAAAUGACAUGAUACUGGUACGUACAUUACCAUACCACAGAGCAACCGAUAUAGGCUCCGGUACCGGUACAGCCAACCUUGUCGAGGAUAGCUUUCUUACUUUUGAUACUCAUCCACAAACUACUGGGAUGAAGCUAUUCAUUUGGAUUUACUACUUUGAUAUUGAAAUGGAAAGUGCUUUCAACUUCUUUAUUAGUUUUGUCUAAAUUUUCUUGUGUCUACCACUCUUUUCUUGCGGGGCAAAGUGGCAGAAAUUUUUUUUUAUGAGCAUAUUUAAAACAGUAUCAUGCCUAGAUGUUAGAGGAUGAAUCAUUUUAUUUUGUCUGAUUAGUAUUUGUUCAGUGUUGGUAAUAGAAAUUUGGAGAAGACUGUAUAAUACAACCAUAUUAUUGCUAAAUAAGUGUUCUGUUGAAUCAGAAGUUUAAACUUUUUUAUUUGUUAAUGCAAACAUUAGUUUGAAAAGCAUACAUAGUUACUUGGUUCCAUGAUUGACUAUGUGCUUUUGGCAUUUAGAGUGCACAUUGGCUCAUAUGGAUUUUUCUUUUUUGAAUUUUAUCAUGCGAUACACUUCUAGGGUUCACUAUUAUUAUUACUAGGAUUAAUGUGAAUUAUGAAAUUUACAUCUCAAUGUGUAGGUUGAUCAACCGUUUCUGAAUUUAGUUCAGCUAGUUACUGAUGCAGGAGAUUACCAAUUUAAAAGAUCCAAGCAGUCCAUGUUUUAUCAAAUAGUUUUGUUAAUGUUUAAAAGUCUUUAAUGUCAAGUUGAUGUAGCAUUACUUUACCAGGUACUGUUCAUGAGUACUAUUCACAGUACUGUGGCAGCAACUUGUUAGGGGCUUUUGUCUCUUUUUCUUCUUUCCUUAUGCUUUGAUUGAUGGCUAGGAUCUGUUUUGAGUUCAAGGGUCAAGAUUUAAUGUUGUUGAAGUUUUGAGUCUAUAUAAAGAUUAUAAUCCAUUUCUUGAGAGAUGAUUUGAUUGAAAGAAAGAAAAGAAGCCAGAAUUUGGCUACCUUCCCUUCCCUCCUCUUACUCCCUCUUAUAUUUUAUCCUCUUCUUUCCUCCAAUUCUUAUAUCUUUUAUCUAUUGCUCUUCUAUUUUCGCUAUUAUUUUAUAUUCUUGCUAUUUAUUUUAUACAGUUGAUAAUUGAUCUUAGAUCUGAUUAUACUUGGAUCUAUGUUGGAUCUAUAAUCAGUUUAUUUUGCUCUACUUUGAUCCCUUAAGAGCAUUAACUAGAAUCCUGCCGUUUGUUAUUAAUGCUUGAAAAUAUUAAAAUACUUCAAAACUUUUAUCCCUAUCAUAAAAUCCUAAAUCCUUUUGCCAAAACCCAAAUCCAUUGCUUCUAGGUCCAUCAUCACACAUGAACACCCUAGCCCCUAUUGUCCUAUGUCAAAUUUGGUAUCAGAGAUAAGGGAUUCUAUCUUGUUCUUUCUUCCUUUUCAUUGAUCUUUUUCUCAAUCUUUAUUCCUUUCCUCUUAUCAUCAUGUUAUCAAACAAGGAGCUAGGUUUCAAGAUUGAUGCCUUCCAUCAACAUCUCAAGUAUGAGAAUAACGUUUUUGUGCAGAUAUAUGAUGAUAUGACAUCGACCAAGAACAACUUAGCAUCAACCAAAGUUUCAUUGCAAAAUAUAUGCUAAAUUCAAGGUGGUCAACGAAUAACUAUUGUAGGUAAAGUCCCAUCUGAUAGGAAUCUUGUGGUUGAAGAUUUGUACCAUGGAAUCUUAGAAGCAUUGUUAUUAGACCGGGGUUGGACCGGCUUAUUGGAUUGGUGGACUAGCCCCUUCUCUGAUUCGACUUUCUAAUUGGAUUGGAGUUGAAUCUGGCCUGGUGAAACUUGAAUGAAAUGUGACGGUUUGAGAAAAGCUGUGACUUGGGCGAUUCAAAACCAGGUAAAUCAGGUUCUCUUGUUUUCGAAUUUUUUUUUGUACAAAUAGUGGUCAAGUGGAGAUUUGAACUUUUGACCACCUGUUUGAUAUAGAACCUCGACCACCUUUUUGAUAUAGAACCUCGACCACUAAUUUUAAUGUCUUAGUAAUUUAAUUAGUUUUUAACAAAAAAAGAAAAUUGUCGAUUCUUUUCCUUUUGGAAGAAAAUUAAAGAAAAACAAAUAUACUUCAUUUUUACAUUUGGAUAUUUCAAAACGUCAUUAGUAGAAAAUGAAAGAAAAACAGAUAUACUUCAUUUUAUUCAUUUGGAUAUUUUCAAAAUUAUAUUAUUUAAAAAAUUAAAAAUAUCAAUAAAUUCUAUAUAUUUUUUAAUCAUAUAUAAUUUUUCUUACUCUUUUUAUCCGUGUGGUGUGAAAGAGCAGUAUGUAAAAUAAAAAAAUUAUUUAUCAAUUGUUAUACACUUUCGUAUAUUAUGCUUUUUAUUUUUAAUAUUUUAGAGUAAAUUACAAAAAUCCCUCUGGGAUUAGGGGAAAAUUCCACUUAUACCCAAUAAUUUGAAAACUUACGCUUACCCUCUUGAGGUUUAUUUUUAUCCAACACUUUAACUCAUAGCUUAAAAGAACGUUAGCCAAACCUUUAGCCUUAAAUAGGACCCAAAUACAUUGUCAGAAAAAGUUCAAAAAUAAUCAAAAUAACCUUAAGUGACAUAAUAGCCACCUAACAGCAUGAGAAAAUAUGUACGUUCUCCUUUCCACCCAAGGGCAAUUUUGACUUUUUACGUGAAGUAAAUAGUUUCAUUAACGCCGUUAAUUUAACCGGGUGUAAGUAUAGGUUUUACAAACUAUUGGGUGUAGAUGUAAUAAAUGUAAACCUCAAAUGGGAUUUUGUGAUUUACUUUAUUUUAAAUCAAAGCCCGGUUCGACUAAUUGACCUGGUGGUUGGACUAGAGACUUGGCUGGGUCAAUCUCUAGUCUAGGUUUAAUAACUGUGCUUAACUUGCAAUCCUUAUCAAGAACUUGUAAUCAAUGAUUUGUCAAUGAGAAUCCUGCAGUUAAUGAUUCGUUUAAUGUCUUGGCAAUAGAAAAUCAAAAUACAAAGAACUUGUGGCAAAAUCAUGUCAUCACUCCAAGGGUCUAUGUCCGAGCUCCAGCAAUAUGAUAAUCCAUUCCUUGAUGAUUUGCUGUAUAUGUCAAACAUCACAAACAAAUGAAGGAUUUAUAGCUUCUUAGUUGUCAAUUGAUGGGCGUUAGAACAAUCAAUUGGUUCUGAGAAAAUUUUGUAUGGUUCUUCACAAUCAAAUUUUGGGGAUCCAAUGGUGGAUCAAACUUUGAAAAGACAUAUAUAUCAUCUUGAGGACGAGACACAUGCAGUGGAAGUGAAUGAUUCAGUAGUAGUUUAAAAUAUCCAAUCGGUCGUUAUUUUGUAAAAUGUCUAAAGAGUCUUAAUGCCAAGUUGUUGCAGCAUAACUGUACCAUGUACUAUUCAUGGUACUGUAGUAGGAACUAUUCAUGGUAUUGUAGAAGCAACUUCUUAGGGGCUUUUGUUUCUUUUAGAUUUUUGUCUCCUUAUAUUUUAAUUGAUGGCUAGAUUUUAUUUUGAGUUCAAGGGUCAAGAUUUAAUGUUGUUAGAGGUGAGUCUGUAUAAAGGUUGUAAUCCUCUCUUAUGAGAGAUGGAUUUGAUUGGAAGAAAGAAAAGAAACCAAGAUUAGGCUGUAUUCCCUCCCCUUCUGUUAUUCUCACUUUAUUUCAUCAUUUUCAUCUUUCCUUUGAUUCUUCUAUCUUUAUUCUAUUGCUAUCCUAUUUUUCCUAUUAUUCCAUAUUCUAACUACUUAUGUUAUACAGUUGAUAACCAAUCUUUGAUCUGAUUAAUUUAUAAGCAGUUUAUUUUGCUCUUAUUCGUUUCCUUAAGACCACUAGAAUACUUGCCAUCCAUUAUUAUCCUUUGAAAAAGAAAAUAACAGACACUUCAAAGUUCAACUCGUCUAUCUUUCAGGUUGACUCGGGUUUGCUUAGGGUCGACUCAUGAUCUACCAUCUUUCAGGUCGCAUAUAAGCAACCCUAGCUGCUAUCGUCCUACAUCAAUUCCUUGGAUUGUUUGGUCUAGAGAUUUGUUUUAUUGUCCUAAAAUGCCUAAGAAUCCUGCCCAUGCCCAAUUCCCAAAAGUUUUAUAAGAUUGCUGAAAUGCCUUUUUACUACUUUCAUGCAAACCUUCCCAUUGUCUUCUCUCUCCUUUUUGCACCUACAAGGCUACAACUUGCAUCCAGGACCUGCUCCUUAAUGGGGCCAUCUCAAACCAAUAAUGCUGCAUGUUGUCAAAAGGUCCCAUAUUUUGAUCUGUGAUGUUUGCAUUCAUGCAAAACACAAGCAUUACUGCAUAUGUUGAUUUUUAAACUAAAGAUUCUACUUUCUUUCUGCAAGAUCUUAAGUGAAAGGUGUAUAUGGCAUGGAAACACAUUAUAUUAUGUUAGUCUUUCAAGAUCUAAGAAUAAUGCUUUACAUCUGCUGAGAUAUUCCCAAGACCAUUUGUGUUUAUAUCUUGGAAAAACCUUUAGAAUCUUGAUCAACCAAUAAACCAUCCUUGUACGAUAAGAAGCACUUUAUCAGCAAAUCAAUCAUAUUCUUUAACAAAAGCUUAAUUGUUUUACAAAUUUAUAAUCAAGUUUAAUCAACUUGUAUAUAUCAUCUAGCUUCAGUGCUAGAUGAGUGUUUCAAGUAAUAUAUUCUUAUUUAACCAUAUGGUAGCUAGAUUCUCUGUUGCUCAUCAAGGCCUUUUUUUUUGGUGGCUGCAGAUGAGGCUUGAAGGAGUGUCCUCGAAUAAGAUGGGCCAGUUUAUUGUUGUCCUGGAGGUAAUUUUGUUUCUUUUAUUGUUCAACUUGUCCAGCCAUGUGAAUCUACUACAACCAUGCAAGCAUUUUCCUUUGCUCAGAAUUGGUUAUUGCCAGGUUUUUGAAGUUGCCUCUUCCCUUUUCAUGGUGGAUGUUCGGAAGGUUGCUGGUGAUACACUAGAAUAUCACAAGGUUAGUAUAUGUUUCUUGGGCUUACAAAUUCUGUUUCUUUUUGGAGCCCUGCUGUAGUAGCAAUUUGCUGGUCUUAUCUCAUCUACGUUAAUGAUCUUCUACAUAGACUGUAGAGAAGAUAUCUAAACUAAGAAAAAUUGUCAGAGUAUUACACAACUUUCAAGAAUGGAAGUCUUUAGGUAAUGUAUGCGAUGGUUCUACCUUAAAUAACAACUAUUUAUUUUCCAGUUAAGAGAUACUUAACCCAGGGGGCUGCUGGGGAAAUGUUGAUUGUUAUUUGUAUUGGGUUGCAAAUACAAUAAAUGGGAGAUGUUGUAUGCAAUAAAAGAAAAAGGAGCAGAAAAACCUUUUUUGGUGUACCUACAAACUAUCUUAAGCUAGGAAUAUUGUAACUAUUUGUGGGUGGUGGCCAGAAAAUUAGAAUUUAAACUGGCUGUCAACUUGUUUUCCCUAGUUGUCACAGAUAACCUUCCAACUAACAAGCUGAGGUUCCCGGUUUGAACGUGGAUAAGCUAAAAUAAUGGGUGGGGGUCUCCCUCCCUUGAAGUAAAAAGGGUUAGUAAUUGUUGGCAAGACCCUGUUACAUCCUUUUAUGGAACUUUUUGACCAGAUCUGUGCUUCAUAUCUAACUCAUUCUUGAUUGGUUAACUUCUAUUUACUAAUAGCAGCUUGCUAAAAUAGAAGAUAAUGCAACCAUCACAUACUAAAAGUAAGGCUAUUGUUCAUGCAGUUCUACAACAUUUUAUGUGGUAAGCUGGAGCAUAUCAUCUGGAGACCGACAGAUGCAGCUGGCUAGAUCUUUCACUUCUUAGGACAGCAAAUUGCUGAUUUACUUUUGAGAGACAGCAUGCCGAUCAACUCUGAGGUUUGUUGCAAAUGUAAUUAUUGUUGGUAAAGCUCAACCCAUGUGCAUUCGAGGAGGAUUAACAUGAAAGGGGCCAGCUAUGGUUGCCACCGUUACCGGUAUAUCAAACCGGUUUGAGGUAUUUCAGUGUAUUUUUCUUUGGAGCACCGCUCAAAGUCAAAGGCCUUCCUCGAAAUGACGUGCAACUGUUGUUGGCCAUUAUUAAAUAGAUUCUGUAUGGAGUCGCAAGAUGUGUAGGUAUAUGAUAAUCCAUGAAAUCACUGGUAGCGAAGUUUGUUGGUCCCUUUUAUUAUCUUUUGACGAACACGUUAAUGUUGAGCAGCACAUGAUUUGAGAUUCUUGCCAAGGCUUGCCGUCUGCCUGAGCAUCUUGUUUGUCAUGUAUUUUGUUCUGACGAACAAUUGCCGUUUUGAUGCUUGCUGUGGAUAUAUGAGUUUGAUGGGUGCAUAAUCAGAAUGGGCUGAUGCAAUUGAGCUGAGGGUGUGCUUUUCGAGGUCUGAACUCUUGACCCUGUAAAGAUCUGGCAUCCAACAAACAAGCAGGGCAAGGAGGCCUUGUACCCAUUGUUCAAAAGAUGCGCGACUUUGGCGUAAAAGCAAACCUUCGAGUCAGAGCGAUCACCUUCGCAAGGACCAGAUGGAAUACCUAGCAUAAUGCGGAUACAGCAAGAUUUAAGCGUUAGCCAAAUACAACGUCAGUUUCCGCUGGCGAACACAUUUACAACUGAAAAUUGAAAAUGAGAGGAAACAUGGCUCGGUGUCCAUAACAGUCGCACCAUCAACAAAAGAAACUAAUUCCCUUCUUUGCUUAACCUCUAAUGAAGAGUAGCUAAAAAGCCUAACAAGUUGGGUUCUAGUAUCUACUCAAUACUCGUUCCGUCCAAAACAUAAGAGAAUCCUUGCUGUCAUUAAAAACAUGAGAUAACCAGCGAGUCACAACAUACCGUAGACUGCCCUCCGGACGUUGGAAAGAAGAGAGAACCCAAAAUCAUAACAACCUCUCACACCGGACUGCAACUUAAGUUGCUUUAGUUCAUAAAAAAUACCAUACUUAUGUCACAUAAAAGAACCAGAAUUUUAUCACAGUUUCCUGCCACCGCGAGCAGCAAGUAUCACUGAACAACAUUCCGAUCAUUCUUUGAAUGUCUCCCAAAGUCCCAAUGUAAACCAGAAUAACGGUGCAAAAAUCCCCAAGUCGCACUGUAAGGUAUUCCAAACCGGAUGCAAGAGCAGAACUUCACAUUCAUAAAAAGCAGGACCAGAAAACAUAAACUUCCGAACCAGUCUCUGAAAACACUAAACACUGGACAUACAACAUAAGAAUUACUCAUUUUAAGAAAGAUUGCAAAGAUUACAGUCCUCAACCAUCAGCCUGCAAAAGUAGAGCUCCGGGAAAAAAACAACCAAACAAGGCUGUCAUGGCACGCUCCAAGUAUGUGCUGCCAAAUAACCGAAGCCCCAUAAACCUCAGGCAACCAAAAAGAACUGUGCAAAAGCAACCAGACAAGUCCAACACUAACAGAACCAAACAGAUCCUACCCAGAGGACAUGAGCCCAACCUGGAACAACACCUAGAAGACCUGAUUGAAACUUCAGACACGAGCGUGUACUACCAAUGAGGACCGGCUAAAACACCAGACAGAGCAGCCACAGAUGCCACCGCCCCAGCGAUACAUAACCAGGACCCUCUAAAAAGGGCACCUAGAAAUGGCAAAAACAAGCAGAGAUUCCAAGCACUAUGAACCAGGGCUAGGCAAAGUUGUAAUCUCAAGAACCGAGACCAGGCUAGAGGAAAGCUGUAGCCAAUCAGUGGCAGCCAAACACCUCUGAAACAGGCUUCCCCUGUAAAAGAGGAGACCCUGCAAAAAAUCAACACUGGCCAAAGGUCCCUGGAAAACAACCUAGUCCUGUGACAGAAGAAAGCCCACUGCCUAUGACACGAGCCAAGAACCAACCGGAAUUUUAAAACUGCUGAUACUACCGCUGCUUUUAUCUGUCAUCUGGUGCUGGAGACCCCCAUCAACCGACUGACCAAAGAAUCUCCUGCAACCCAUCUCUCCUUUGUACUAGUAAAGGAUAUCGCACCACCAGAGUUUCUCCUCCAGCGCUCCAAUCCCUUGAGUACUGAUCAGCUUACAGUUUUGGAGGUUCAGCCCGACCAAGGAUCUGCCCAUGUUUCCCAAGAGCGGCAGACUCUUUUGGGUCAGCUUAGAACAGCCAGCCAGAGAGAGGACUCGCAGCUUAAGCUGACUUGCAGAUGCCAAGAUUGCAACACCAUAAUCCCCAAUCAUGCACCUUGACAUAUCAAGAUCAUCGAGCAAAGAACAACUGUCAGCAAUCACCAAGAGGCUCUUAUCAGUAACCUUCUUACAGCCUUCAAGAUUAAGCAUCUGGAGAGUAGUUCCAUGUGCCUUCACUAGUGCAGUAACAACAGCAUCCGUCAGAUCAACACAGCCACUCAAAUUGACUGUAACUAAUCCCGCCUCUGAACUCUCAAUCAGAGGCAGAAGGCCUGCAUCAGUGGCACCAACUAGGCCGCUCAAAUCUACAUGCUGCAACUGGGGGCAGAUCUUCCCAACCACUGCUAAGCUAGCACCAGUGAAACCGGGGCAGUCACGGAUGGUCAAGGAUCGAAGAGACAUGCAUAAGGGGAGUGGAGCUGUGCAAAAACUUAUAUCCUUAACCCCCAAGCAUUUCACCAAGGAUAGUGCCCUUAACUUUUCAUUGCAGUUCAGAAGACAGCCAAGAACACCAAUUAGACUGAUCCGGUUACACUCCUCCACAUGCAGAUUCUCCAGUGCCCUAGCUGUCAUGGCAAAAGCUUUCAGGCCAGCAUCUGACAGAUAGCAGCACCUGCGGAGACACAGCUGCUUCAGAUUCGGGCAACUCUUUGCAAUGGCCUCAAGGCCCAGAUCAGUAACCCCACGGCAAGAGUUGAUCAAGAUGGACUUCAUGUUCUCCAAGCCAAAAGCAUUGCCCAUGACCCAGAAACCCCUCUCGCUCACGCACUGGAGACCCGUAAGUGCUAGAUCAGCAACAGCCUUCCCAUAGUGCCCAAUGACAGCAAGAGACACAUCAGUGAUAUUCACAUUCUCAAGCCUUAUCCUGGCCAGGAAAGAUGAAGCUGCAGAGACCAGGCUUGCAACUCCUUGGUCACCAACAAGUGGGCAGUCCUUGAUAACAAUGGACUUCAGCUUUGGGCAGCAGCGGCCCAUAGCCUGCAGGCAUUCAUUGCCUAUGCUCAAGCAAGAUUCUAUCAUUAGAGAUGUCAAGUUGGGACACUUCUGAGCAACAGCUAUCAAACCCUCAUCUGAGAUUAAAGGACACCGGCAGAGGUCAAGCUUUUCCAGCAUAGGACAUCCACUCCCAAUCUCAGAUAGGCCGAUGUCGCUGAUGAAGGGAACAUUCCACAUCGACAGAACCCGUAGGGAAGGGCAACCACGGGCUACAGCAGAUAGUCCAAUAUCGGUGACCGGACGAGUUGCAUUGCUUCCUUCAAUGUAAAGCUUACCCAGCCCACCAUGGCCACAGGUGCCAACAGCCAUAGCCGCAAGUCUAACAUCUGUGGCAUCCUUUGCUUUUAACUUCCGGGCAAGAUAGCCAGUGCUCUCGAAUUCCUUUUCCUCGUCCGUACUCGCAGAAGUGUUCAGAUCAGGCAAAGGUUUCUUCAGAGUUUCACCACUGCUGGCGCCAUUUUUCUUGUGAGCAGCCAUCUCAGAAGCCCGGAUGCUGCUCAGGAGCAUAAGCCAACGCUUGGAUACACAAGCAGAGUUGCUCCUCUCCUUAUUUCCUGGCAACCGCCGGAGGAUCUCGAAGAGGCACUCGUCAGGAAGAACAUCGAUGGAGCAGGGCUGCUGCUUUUGCUUCUCAGCGCCCUUCUCUCCUCCUUUAAAGAUGAAAGGAGCCGUGAUCCGUGACCUCUUGCGAGGCGGGAAGAAGACAUCAACGUUAGAAGCGAUAGACAAGAGGCAGCUCGAAUCCAUGAGGUUCGAGAUGAGAGGUCCCACAGAGCAGAGAUCAUCGGUUCCUGAGAAUAAGAAAAAGGAAAAAGAACGGUGAGUUCCAUGAAUAUCCGUGUACCUCUAACGUUUGCUACCGGGCUUUAAAUAACAGAACAACAGGAAGGAGGAAGAUGAUGAUGAAAACCGUAACUCCCUCCCAAUCCCCCCGCCCCUCCCCUUCCUCCCAACAAAGAAAAAAAAACAACACACACACACAAAAACUAUAGAUCCAUCACAGAGGAAGAAGGACCUUGACCUACAAUUUUAGGUGAUUCUCUACUUGAUAAAACAACUCCUGGAGAAGAAGAGAUCGGCAUGUUUGAAAGCUAAUAAUCAAAAGCCACGAAUACUAGACCUACAAAUUCCAGAUCUGCAAAACCGCAUAAAGAAAACAAGUAUCGAUCUACGGUCCAGAAUCGUCAAAGAAUCUCGAAAAUGCCAAGCCGAUCUGCACCAAAAGCAAGCGCAGGCAACAAAACAACUAAAUCAUCAGAAGAACAAACUUCAAUCAAAACCAGAAACGUCAAAAAUUACGAGAAUCCCAAGCCGGUCCGCACCAAAGGCGUAGAGAAACAAUUAAAUCAUCAGAAGGUGAAGAACAAUCUUAAAUCAGAACCCUAAUAUCAAUCCAGAGGUAUACAGCCUAAACCAAGUGCAAAGAGAAAAACAACGAAGUCGUAGAGGAGAACAAAUCGACAGAUCGGCCCAUCCAUCUUGAAUUUCAAAACAAAAACAAAAAAAACAAAAGAAACAUG
rnacentral:lncRNA from 1 species